AGUGAACGCUGGCGGCAUGCUUUACACAUGCAAGUCGAACGGCAGCGCGGUCUUCGGCCUGGCGGCGAGUGGCGAACGGGUGAGUAAUGCAUGGGAACGUGCCCAGUAGUGGGGGAUAGCGCGGCGAAAGCCGGAUAAAUACCCCAUACGACCAGAGGGUGAAAGGGGGGGACCGAAAGACCUCGCGCCCUUGGAGCGGCCGAUGUCGGGUUGGCUAGUUGGUGGGGUAAAGGCUUACCGUGGCGACGAGCCGUAGCUGGUUUGAGGGGCCGAGCAGCCAAAACUGGACUGAGGAACGGGCCAGACUCCUACGGGAGGCAGGAGUGGGGAAUUUUGGACCAUGGGGGGAACCCUGAUCCAGCCAAUCCGGGUGCGGGAAGAAGGCCUUCGGGUUGGAAACCGCUUUUGUUCGGGAAGAAAUACUCUCGGCUAAUACCCCGGGGGGAUGACGGUACCGGAAGAAUAAGCACCGGCUAACUACGUG
rnacentral:rRNA from 1 species